rnacentral:snoRNA from 1 species
UCACUGCAGAUACCCUGGUCAGUCACUUUCUCCAGGGUCUGCCCAAGGGGUGUAGGGAGCAUGGUGCUCUGUGCCUGCCACUUGGUACACAGUCUCCAGUGUUGAAGAUGAAGAGCUGGGUCAGCACUGGGUAUUGCUCUCGCUACUCUAGGCUCUAUGGGACAGUGGCGGGGGAGACUGAUCAUGA